CAGUGCAGCGCACGGCGUAAUCGACAUAUAUUUGUGGGACUUCUUGUUGUUACUCGCGAAGCCGAUGUGGCCUCUGUUCACUUCACUCUCAACGCGCACCCUCUCUGUUCGCAUCUCGUAAUAACGGUAUACCUCUACAUUCGCAUGCACGCAAAGGUUCUUGGGCCGCUGGCGGGUAGCCGCAUUCAGGCGGCGCAUAAGUUUCCGCAGCUGCGUCUGCAGCCGACGCAGCACCGGCUCAUGACGCGGCGUCGGCAGUGCAAUCUGCCACUGCGACUCUUCCACCCCAGCAGCGUCGACUUCGCCAGGCAUGAGCUGGAGGCCGGCCGCAUCGUGGAGGUCCGCCGAGAUGACAACUCGCUGGUAGCACUCGGCUUCUACGAGCCGCAUCUGAAGCGAGUGGAUGUGUUCGACAUGACAGCGAGCUUGGCCGCGAUGCUGCCGGCGAUCAGCGAAGACUUUUUUAUGGCCCGCGUGCACGAGGCAUGGGAGCGACGCCGGCGCAUUCUUCCGCAGACACAGAGCAACACGUACCGCGUCGUCAACGGCUACGCUGAUAGUCUGCCGUCUCUCUUUGUGGACGUUUUCUCUGAGUGCUUCGUGCGCGUUGUGGCAACGUCAUUCGGGGCGGAGAGGCUAGUGACACCCCUGUUGGAUUUCCUGUCUCGUCGCGGCGCUGAGGAUGUGCUCUUGGACACUCCGACUCUCGGUGAUACAGCGCGGGUGUCGAUCGUCACGCCCACCAUCUCGCUCCCGCAGCUGUACGUGGAGGGCGGUGUGAGUCACCUCUGGCUGAGACCCGACAUGCGGAUGCCGUCAACGGAAAACUUGUUUCUCAUCAACCCUGCACACCGCCGCACCCGCCGCAUGAUGCGCGAUGUGGGGAAGGGGAAGCGCGUCCUCACAAUCUACGACCGCAGCGGGUCGGCCGCGAUGAACGCGGUCAUGACGGCAAAGCACGUCACCGUCCUCCACCGCGAGGAGACGUCGCUGGAGUGGGCGCGGGCAAACCUAAUUUGCAACCACUCCGCCUCUGUCUUCAAGACCUGCGAGACCGUCUGCUGCGACCCUGCCGAGCUGCGUGUACGACACCAGCAAGAUGUUGUGUACAUCGAGUGCCACCCCAAGUUCCUCAGUACCAGCAAUCAGUGGGCGGAGCUCGUGCGUUCGCUUGCAAACAACAAAGUGAUUGGCGUUGGCACGAUGCUCAUCGUGGCCCAGGAAGAGGCGCCGCUUGGUGUGCACGACCUCCUGCCCCGUCGCAAGGUUUUCUAUGGCGGUGACGAGAGCAAAGCCAAUCAGGAUUGCCCGAUGAAGCGCCGUCCCCUCGCAGAUGCACUGCGCAACGCGCUGGAGAAGUGCCAUCUGCGUCUCAAGUUUCUACGCGCCUUCUCUGUCGCCUGCGACCACCCGUUGCUGCCGGAGUCGGAGAGCGCGUCCUUCUCGCAAGUCUACCUCAUCGAGGGCCCUGCGCUGGAGCAGGUCUUCCGUGUGCCAACUUCGAGCCACAGGAAAGUGCGCACCGAUGAGGCGACGUAAGUACAGGGUACUAGCUCUUCGCUGUCUGACUUCCCAUCGGCGCUGCCGUUGUGGAUGCUGAACGCCGAUGAAGGAAAAAUGGUGGAAGGAGGAUCAUUAAUGGAACGGUGUGCGGUCAGGGGAGGCGGACCCGUUUUUAGCUCGCUGCGCCUUGAUCGCAGUUUCGGAGUUUUGUGGUUGUCGUCGCUGGCGCCUCUCUUUGCGCACUCGCUGCUGACGGGGCUCCGCCAAAGUACGGAUUAUCCGUCGUGGCCGCGUACGAACCCUCCCCCUCCCUCCCUCCCUCCGUUCCUCCCUCCUCACUCCACCCCACCACCACCACCACCCCGAAAAAGCAAAACGAAUGAUACAGGCAGAAGAGUUACCCUUGCCGCUGAAGUCUUCUUACACUGCUUGCUCGGUAGGUAAGUUGGGGUCACUGUACCUUGUCACACACUGGAGUCCACCCGCCCCCACCCCCUCCCUCUCUUCCCCGCCUUCCCCAUGGCGCCAUCGGAGGUUGUGUUUUCGUCGACAAGCUGUUCAUUCCCCUUGCUUGUUGCUCUCACGCGUGCUCUCCCCCUCUGUAAUUCGACUCCUCUUCCCGCUCCACGAACUGUGGACAACUGAAAAAG
rnacentral:misc_RNA from 1 species